UCAUCCCUUGUGUUGUUGUAGGGGAUGCCCUAUGUUCUAUUUAUAGUCCAUCCCGUGGAAAAUGCAUGUUAGAAAAGGUUACGUACCAAUGUAUAUAGGAAUGGAGAGCCGACUGACUCGGGAGGUACUCUUUAAUACAUUAUAUGUGUUAUACACACAGUGUGGCCAGUGGCCUACAGGGAGGAAGCAGAAACGUCAUCACAGCUGUUUACCCUACUGGACAUGUCACCACCACAUACCAAGGCAGAGGUUUGUACUAGAAGUCAUGAAAUGACAGGAAUAAAGCCAAGCUGCUGUCUUCAGGAUCAAAAAAGCUGAAAUCCUGUGUUGCCUGUACCAGAACUAUGGAAAAAGGCUUAAAAAUGUACAGAGAAAUCUGAAGAACUUUAAAGGUUAGCAGAACCCAGAACUACGCAGCUGAAGGCCGUCUGUUUCGGCUGAGGAGAGGCAUGGUGUUGGUCAUGGUGACAGGACAGUAUCCCCACGUGGGUUUGAUCCCCAGAAACCCUGGUAUGAUUCACAACAGGUCUUACACAACACAAGAGAAAGCUGGACCAACUACAACCGGCACUGAUAAACAACUUGAACAAUAUAGGUCAGAAAAGUCCCAGGCAGUCCCAAGUGGAGUCAGGGACAGAAAGUCCCAUUCAAUUCCUACUGGAGGUAAGGACAGGAAGUCCCAUUCAGUUGUUACUGGAGUCUCAAGGAUUUCAGAAAGUUCCUUUCAGUUCUUGGAUUAACACCAAAAGCACACAAAGCACUCACAGGCCUCAGAGUGACUGCAGAGCUGGAUCACCAAGUGCAGGACAAGUUGGAGGCUGUAACACAAUCACUAAGGAACCUGUCAGUUACCCAGGUAUUGUUGGGUACAACGCAGAGGUCUGGACUAAAUGUACACGUAUACGGUAUAUAGGUCUUCACAGAGCUCCAGGUCACUACACACAACUUCUCACAAAAUGUGCAAACCUUAUUACUCCUGUCUGAAUCAGGUUCAAUGCGAGAGUUCAGAAGCUGUCCAGGGCUAUUAUGACAGACCAAAGCCAUUUACAGCAGCUAAUGUCCAGUGCCUGGCAGAUACAAGUACUUAGUCUCCACGACCACUUCUCCUGUCGACCAGUUCUGUUAAUGGUAUAUACCACAAGCAGAUGACAGACCUACCUGCUUUUUGCUAAUUGGCCUGAGGUUUUGUGUACAUCGUGAGUUUAAUACUGAAAAAGGAAACUAUUAAUCACGGUAAUCCCAGAAUCUUUAUUUCAAUUAUCAUCAUAGAAAUGGUCCAAUGGAAUCUCUCUGUAUAUUACCUCAACACUUCCAGGCAAAUAUUUUCUAUAUUUAUUAUGAGGUAAGUGAAUGAAUAGAUGGCAGAUUUUGUAACAUCUUAAUGCAAUCAUUUGUUCAGUUUAUGCUGCGGUCGAAAAUCAAUAAUGUAUACUGUAUACAUACACAAUGCCAGUUCUAAGUGAUUUAUAUAUAGCCACUUGCAUUCAACGCUGGGAAUUCUAGUUGAUUCUGUCAUCUCGUUAUCAACACAAUAACGAGACGUCAAAAGACACCUGUGGCAAUUUAACUUUUCUACAUGAAUUUUUCACAAAAAAAGAUAAGGACAUUUUUAAACAGAAAACAGUAUUGAUUUUGGUAACAUAAUCUUUCGAAUAUUAUAUGAUAUUUAAACCAACUUUCAGAUAUAUAUACAUAAUGUAGGCAAAAGAGGAAAAUGGAGGUAACUGUAUCAAAACUUAUGUCAGAGAAAUCUCAGAAAGUUUCUCAGUAUAAGAAAAAAUAAAUAAAUUAUCACCAUAUUCAUGUUCCCGCUCAAGCUAAUGGUCUACCUAAAUACAACAGUGAUAAAAGUUAAUAUUCAUCGAACCCCAGAUAACAACAACACUUACAUGUAAGUAUAUUAAGGAGCAUGCAUGCAUAAAGCUAAGUACAGUACAACUUCUAUUUAAUUCACAAACACAUUCCCAGUCUUCAUGUAUUGUUAUCAUAUCAGUACAGCAAACCUUACAGGCCAGACAUUCUCUUAUCGGUAAAGGCUUUCCACGCAAUAGUUAAAGUCUUCAAGGUCAUGACCUCAGACUGUGACUUUUAUAUGUGGUAUAUGUCAACAGUGUCAUGGCUAAAAUAAAUUCAGAAGGAAUAUACCUGGGUACACAGAUAAUGUGAUGAAUGACUUGAAUGCGCAGACAUCAAUAAAAGAGGCCCAUGAGGGCCGUUAUCCAUCAUCUACACUGAACAUGGCAAAUCAGCAUGUAACAUGUAAAUUAAGUGUCAUUUCAAGUCAUUAAAUUAUGAUUUAAGGAUAGGAUGCUGUUUUUCCUGAAAGACUGAGAGAGAGAUUGAGUGAAAAUGUUGAUUCUACUUUGAAAUUGUUGAAACUGGAGACAAGAGCUACCUUUUCAAACAAAACCCUUUCAAAACUGAUCCAUAUUCACAGUGAC